rnacentral:rRNA from 1 species
UACGAGGGGGCAAGCGUUGUUCGGAAUUAUUGGGCGUAAAGGGCGCGUAGGCGGUGCGGUAAGUCUGUUGUGAAAUCUCCGGGCUCAAACUCGGAGUCUGCAUCAGAAACUGCCGUGCUCGAGUGUGGGAGAGGUGAGUGGAAUUCCCGGUGUAGCGGUGAGAUGCGUAGAUAUCGGGAGGAACACCUGCGGCGAAAGCGGCUCACUGGACCACAACUGACGCUGAGGCGCGAAAGCUAGGGGAGCAAACAGGG